AUCAAGCUGCAAACAUCGGACAGCCAGAAAAGAAAAGGGCUUUCUCUGUUUUGCCCUAAAUUCCCAAUUCGAAUUUCAAUCGUGCCCACAAAAGAUGGCCGGAAAUAUUUCAGAAUCUUUGAAAGGUAAAAAGCGCGCGCGAGAAUCCGACGCCGAACCCGAAACCGCCGAUAUCGAUCAUAUUCUAUCGUUAGAGGAAAAUCUUACGUUUAGUGAUACAUUGGUGGCUCUUCGCAUAAUGCGAGAACAGUUUCCGCAAAUUGACAAGCCAAUUCAGCCUUUCAUUUUGCGGUCACAGUUGUAUAGCAGUGUAGAGGACAGGACACAAGUGGACCGGGACCUGGAGACUCUAAGAAGGGAGAAAGUGUUGCGCAUUUUUAAAUUAAAUACGGGGCAAGAUGAUCAUGCCAUAAUGUUUUUGGAUGACUACCUAUGCCAGGUAGACCGAGUUGUGAAAAGAUUGGAAGGAGAAAAGGGAAGAGAUGUUCUUGAAGUUUUUAACUGGUUCAGAUCACACGUUAUUGAUUUCAAGCUUGAACCUAGUAUUGAACACCAAGAACUUUGUACAUUAUUAUCACUUGGAGGAAAGGUUAAAGAUGAGCACAUCUCACUUUUAAUGAAUUCUGGCCUUCUUACUCGGCAACUUAUUGACCCAAACAUUUACUGGUUUGCAAUUCCAAAUAUCGGUUCAGUACUCAAAGGCCUCUCUCAGGGAAGAAAGGAAGUUCUUUCCCUUUUAAACCGCAGGAGAUACAAAGAAAUGAUGUUGGCACCCCUAGAGAAGAAGCGUCUUAGAUUCUCGUCACUUGAUAUGAGAUUUCAUCUUCGUGAUCUGAUAGGCUCAGGUCAUCUCAAAACUGUCCAAAUACCAACAGGCAUAGUUGUACGAGUAUCAAAAGAUUGAUUUAGCUCACCAUUGAUGAUGGGAUGUAUAACAACUGCAGAGCUUCUCUUCUAGAUGAUGAGACUAAGCAAUGCCAUUGUGGCAAGGAAAUAGGUUUGGUGAUUGCUCGGAGAUGACCUAACAACAUGUUGGAUUCUCUGCAUGAGUGCUUAGUGAUGGCUAUAAGAGAAGUUUCUUGGGUUGCUGAAUCAGAAGUAGCCAAAAACGAGUACAUAAACUUCGGACCCCGCCGUCCUUUCGGCUCACAUUAUAUACGACUUCAAAGAAUAAGACGAAACAAAGGUAACUCGCUGCCCUUGGACCCAUUUUGCCUAAAAAGCAUCGUUAGUAGCCUCAAAGUUUUAAUUCGGAAAGUGUGAAUACUUGCAAAAACGAAGCUAGAAAUACUAUUGCUCUAGAG